ensembl:snRNA U4 U4 spliceosomal RNA
AUCUUUGCGCAGUGGCAGUAUCGUAACCUAUGAGGUUUUAUCCGAGGCGCGAUUAUUGCUAAUUGAAAACUUUACCCAAUACCUCGCCUUGAUGACUUGAAAUAUAGGCAGCAAUGGCAAUUUUUGUCAGUCUCAAUGGAGA